UUUUGGAUUAACUGAAGACUUCUUAAAGAGUUUUCUGGAUGUCCAGAUAAUAAAGAAGUGUCUCCCUCUGGUGUUCCUGCUCUGCCUCACGUUCUCAUUUCAGCCCUCAGUCUUUCAGUUCCUUCCAGAUUAUUCUCUCACACCUGUCUGCACUUCCACUCAACCCAGUCCUUACUUAACCAGUCCUUUUCUUCCACUUCCUCUAUGGAAGAAUUAUCCAGACUUUAAUCAGGAGCGGACAUUUUCAGUUUGAGAGCAGGAUAGUAUGUUUUUGCUCUCAAAACUUUAYGUAUUUGUCCUCAAAACUUAAAAWGCUCACACUCAAAACCUCUGCUCUCUUCAAAUAUGCUCUGCUCUCUCUCAGACCUUUCCUUUCUCGCUCAGAAUUUCUCCUCACGCUCAAACUUUCUGCUUGUGGAUUUCUCCUGCGCUCUUUCCGAUCAGGGAGUAAUGUCUCCUAGCAAUCAUUCCAGCCAAUAGAAUGAAAGCAUUAAACUGGGCGGAGACCGCCUGCUCUGGGGUGCGUUUGUUUCCUUCCAUUGGAUGUGCCUGUGUGUGGAUGCAUAGAUUUUUGCAUCUGCUCUUCCUGAGACCCGGUUCGUGAUUUGUGAACCAACCGACUGGAGCAGCUACGUCUUUGCCGUCUAUAAGCUCAGAUCUAGGCCUCGCUGAAUUCACCAAUAUUUAGUAAACGAGAGCCUCCAGGAGGUGGCUACAUGCACACUUCUGACGUCCACAUGUUCAUGGUGCUGAGGUGAAUCCACUGCUGCCACAUCCAGCCCUGUGUCUGGACAUAACAUCCAGCUUUGAACACAGUUCAUUCUGUUUCUGAAGGGUUUUUUUUCUGGAUCCAUUUAGGAGCUCCAUGAAAAAUGCACCGGACCUUCUGAAAAGCUUCUUACCAGAUGUGGGACAUGAAGAACAGCCUUUUGUCUGGUUUUGGAGAUUGUGGCCCAUUCUAAAAGCUGAAGAAGCAGCCUGAAGAAAAAAAAACUGUAUCCUGUUGAGCUCACAGAAAAAAGACAGGAAGUUCUUCUCACACCAGGGUCUUUCCUCCUCCUUGGUUCUGAUGAUGAACAAACAGGGUUGGAGCAGCAUCAGCCUUUAGUCUAAUUUGGACAG